rnacentral:misc_RNA from 1 species
CUGCGUGCAUGUCAUGUUAUUUCUGUAUUCAAUCAUCAAUCAAGGGAUACCAAUAUCUAUUUUCUAAGUCCAUCAUGUUUGAUAUGAAUCUAAUCUAUUGCAAUGAAUAUAGCAUACAUGAGUUAUUUAUCUCUAUCUCUUUAUCUGUGUUUGUUUGUGUAGAUAUACUGUGGCAGAAAAUGCACAAUGAUUAUGAAAUGUCUUCCGGCACUAAAUAUAGGCAGUUUAAUUCUUGAAUAUAAUAACCAUCUAAGGACUACUCAUUAGACAAAGUACUGAAUUAUGAAUGCUAGGCUAUGGCUUACUGAGCUGGGUGGGUAUUUCAAAUUCUGGAAAGAAAUCAUGUCAGAUUUCACUUGCUUGACAGAGUACUGAAUUAUGAAUACUAGGCUAUGGUGUACUAGGCUGGGUAGGUAUUUCAAAUUCUGUAAAGAAAUCAUGUCUGAUUUCACUUGCUUGACAGUAGCUGCCUCUGUUACUUUUUCACAGGAUUAAUAGCAUCAAUACUUGAUGUGGCCCAACUGCAAGUGUAUGGGUCGUUCAAG